rnacentral:rRNA from 1 species
CAAGUCGACGAUGAUUAUCUAGCUUGCUAGAUAUGAUUAGUGGCGGACGGGUGAGUAACAUUUAGGAAUCUGCCUAGUAGUGGGGGAUAGCUCGGGGAAACUCGAAUUAAUACCGCAUACGACCUACGGGUGAAAGGGGGCGCAAGCUCUUGCUAUUAGAUGAGCCUAAAUCAGAUUAGCUAGUUGGUGGGGUAAAGGCCCACCAAGGCGACGAUCUGUAACUGGUCUGAGAGGAUGAUCAGUCACACCGGAACUGAGACACGGUCCGGACUCCUACGGGAGGCAGCAGUGGGGAAUAUUGGACAAUGGGGGCAACCCUGAUCCAGCCAUGCCGCGUGUGUGAAGAAGGCCUUUUGGUUGUAAAGCACUUUAAGCAGGGAGGAGAGGCUAAUGGUUAAUACCCAUUAGAUUAGACGUUACCUGCAGAAUAAGCACCGGCUAACUCUGUGCCAGCAGCCGCGGUAAUACAGAGGGUGCGAGCGUUAAUCGGAAUUACUGGGCGUAAAGCGAGUGUAGGUGGCUCAUUAAGUCACAUGUGAAAUCCCCGGGCUUAACCUGGGAACUGCAUGUGAUACUGGUGGUGCUAGAAUAUGUGAGAGGGAAGUAGAAU